GAUCAUGGCUCAGGAUGAACGCUAGCGACAGGCUAACACAUGCAAGUCGAGGGCAGCAUAAAAGUAGCAAUACGUUGGUGGCGACCGGCGCGCGGGUGAGUAACGCGUAUGCAACCUACCUAUCAGAGGGGAAUAACCCGGCGAAAGUCGGACUAAUACCGCAGUAAAACAGGGGCACCGCAUGGUGAUAUUUGUUAAAGAAAUUCGCUGAUAGAUGGGCAUGCGUUCCAUUAGGUAGUUGGUGAGGUAACGGCUCACCAAGCCGACGAUGGAUAGGGGAACUGAGAGGUUGGUCCCCCACACUGGUACUGAGACACGGACCAGACUCCUACGGGAGGCAGCAGUGAGGAAUAUUGGUCAAUGGGCGGGAGCCUGAACCAGCCAAGUCGCGUGAAAGGAAGAAGGAUCUAUGGUUCGUAAACUUCUUUUGCAGGGGAAUAAAGUGCAGGACGUGUCCUGUUUUGUAUGUACCCUGAGAAUAAGGAUCGGCUAACUCCGUGCCAGCCGCUGC
rnacentral:rRNA from 1 species